AGUCUGGUGCCAGCAGCCGCGGUAAUUCCAGCUCCAAUAGCGUAUAUUAAAGUUGUUGCAGUUAAAAAGCUCGUAGUUGAAUUUCGGGAUCAAUUUAUCGGUCGUGCCAAUGGUAUGAACUGGUACAAUUGGUUUCUCCCUUCUGACGAAGCAUGAUGUCAUUAAUUUGGUGUCGUGGGGAAUCAGGACUGUUACUUUGAAAAAAUUAGAGUGUUUAAAGCAAGCAUUAGCUUGAAUACAUUAGCAUGGAAUAAUGAAAUAGGACGUUUGAUCCUAUUUCGUUGGUUUCUAGGAUCGACGUAAUGAUUAAUAGGGAUAGUUGGGGGCAUUAGUAUUCAAUUGUCAGAGGUGAAAUUCUUGGAUUUAUUGAAGACUAACUACUGUGAAAGCAUUUGCCAAGGAUGUUUUCAUUAAUCAAGAACGAAAGUUAGGGGAUCGAAGACGAUCAGAUACCGUCGUAGUCUUAACCAUAAACUAUGCCGACCAGGGAUCGGAUGAUGUUAAUUUUUUAAUGACUCAUUCGGCGCCUUACGGGAAACCAAAGUGUUUGGGUUCCGGGGGGAGUAUGGUCCAAGGCUGAAACUUAAAGGAAUUGACGGAAGGGCACCACCAGGGGUGGAGCCUGCGGCUUAAUUUGACCCAACACGGGGAAACUCACCAGGUCCAGACAUAGUAAGGAUUGACAGAUUGAGAGCUCUUUCUUGAUUCUAUGGUGGUGGUGCAUGGCCGUUCUUAGUUGGUGGAGUGAUUUGUCUGGUUAAUUCCGAUAACGAACGAGACCUUAACCUGCUAAAUAGCUAGGCUUAGCAUUGCUAGGUCGUCAGCUUCUUAGAGGGACUAUCGGUGUUUAACCGAUGGAAGUUUGAGGCAAUAACAGGUCUGUGAUGCCCUUAGAUGUUCUGGGCCGCACGCGCGCUACACUGAUGAAGUCAACGAGUUCACUCCCUUUGUCGGAAGACAUGGGUAAUCUUUUGAAACUUCAUCGUGCUGGGGAUAGAGCAUUGCAAUUAUUGCUCUUAAACGAGGAAUCCCUAGUAAGUACAAGUCAUCAGCUUGUGCUGAUUACGUCCCUGCCCUUUGUACACACCGCCCGUCGCUACUACCGAUUGAAUGGCUUAGUGAGGACUUCGGAUUGAGCUUCGGAAGCUGUAAAAGGCAUCCGAUUUUUAAAAAGUUGUUCAAACUUGGUCAUUUAGAGGAAGUAAAAGUCGUAACAAGGUUUCUGUAGGUGAACCUGCGGAAG
rnacentral:rRNA from 1 species